CUUAAACUUUCUCUUUACUUCCUUCAAAUCGACUCUCUCUCUCAUUGACCAAAACAGACCAUAUCUUCUCUCUCGUCUUUUUCUUUCGUUUUUGGUUUUGCUCUCUGUCACUCACUUUCCCUUCCUCAUUUUUUUUAAUUGAAGAAGAAAUUGUUUUCUUCCUUAGAGCUAUUGGAGUUAGAGGAAUCAUGUGGUAGUUUGAUUUUCGUAUCAAUUGGUUCAGAUUGACAGAGAGAUUCAAUUUGGGGGUUUUCUUUGCUCUUUUCAGUUGGGGUUGAUUCCCUGUUCUGAUGAGUAGUUCUGGAGAUAGUUCACAAGAAGGGCUCAAUGUUGACUUGGGGGAUGGUCUAGAGGGAGAUGGUUCUGCAAGUGGUACUGGCAAUGACGCAAAGCAAGGUCGGGGUCAAGGGAUAUGCAACUAGUGUCUAAAUAACAUGAGAAAAAGUAUCAGACUCCAGCAAACUUGAUGCGGCACCAUUGAAUUUUGUCCUGAACAGCAGCCUUUGAUUCAUGUCUUCAAGGAUGUAUGUAUAAAUGAAGAAUAAUGAAAAAUUGUGGAGAAGUUUCAAGAGUGAUUUGAAGUAAGCUUAUUAUAAACCUUUCGAAGGAAGUGAAAGACGGUGGCAAUGUGGGGAUUCUCGUGUAGACCCAAACCAGUGGCGGCUGUUGUUUGAACAUUAGGAAAAAGAUGAGAUUGCAAUACGUAUUAUUACACAACAGUCAAUAUAUAUAUAAUCUGUGCAAUGAUUAAGCAUGUUUUGCUUUUGCGAAUAGUAGGAACAAGCUAAAUGAAAUGCUGAAAAUUGGAGUAAACAAAAGUUGAAUCACACAUCUGGCACAAAGUCUUAUGCUCGAAGCAAAGCACAAUAUGCUGAAAUGCAGGAAAACUUUAAGGGAUUAGUUGAAGAUGAAUGUCCUGAUAAUUUAAAGGCAUGAAGAAGAGCUUUGGUUGGGCAACUAAAGUUUUGGAACUCUACUGAUGUAGGCAGACCUUUGUAAUAUUUGGCUAUUGUAAAUUGUAAUCCACAUUGGUACUUUAUAUUUUAUAAGAAUGGUUGUUGUAUCUUGUAUAGUUCAAUCUUUCAGUAUUGUACUUAUAAUUGUCAUUACAUUUUUAAUAUGAAUUAAAAAAAAAAUUAGGAAUGAAAAA